AUUGAACGCUGGCGGCAGGCCUAACACAUGCAAGUCGAGCGGAUGAAGAGAGCUUGCUCUCUGAUUUAGCGGCGGACGGGUGAGUAAUGCCUAGGAAUCUGCCUGGUAGUGGGGGAUAACGUUCCGAAAGGAACGCUAAUACCGCAUACGUCCUACGGGAGAAAGCAGGGGACCUUCGGGCCUUGCGCUAUCAGAUGAGCCUAGGUCGGAUUAGCUAGUUGGUGAGGUAAUGGCUCACCAAGGCGACGAUCCGUAACUGGUCUGAGAGGAUGAUCAGUCACACUGGAACUGAGACACGGUCCAGACUCCUACGGGAGGCAGCAGUGGGGAAUAUUGGACAAUGGGCGAAAGCCUGAUCCAGCCACGCCGCGUGUGUGAAGAAGGUCUUCGGAUUGUAAAGCACUUUAAGUUGGGAGGAAGGGCAUUAACCUAAUACGUUAGUGUUUUGACGUUACCAACAGAAUAAGCACCGGCUAACUUCGUGCCAGCAGCCGCCGUAACAC
rnacentral:rRNA from 1 species